CCUACGGGAGGCAGCAGUAAGGAAUAUUGGUCAAUGGACGAAAGUCUGAACCAGCCAUGCCGCGUGAAGGAUGACGGCCCUCUGGGUUGUAAACUUCUUUUAUAGGGGACGAAAAAAGGGUAUUCUUACUCACUUGACGGUACCCUAGGAAUAAGCACCGGCUAACUCCGUGCCAGCAGCCGCGGUAAUACGGAGGGUGCAAGCGUUAUCCGGAUUCACUGGGUUUAAAGGGUGCGUAGGUGGGUCUAUAAGUCAGUGGUGAAAUCUCCGAGCUUAACUCGGAAACUGCCAUUGAUACUAUAGGCCUUGAAUUAUCUGGAGGUAAGCGGAAUAUGUCAUGUAGCGGUGAAAUGCUUAGAUAUGACAUAGAACACCAAUUGCGAAGGCAGCUUACUACGGAUAUAUUGACACUGAGGCACGAAAGCGUGGGGAUCAAACAGGAUUAGAUACCCUGGUAGUCCACGCCCUAAACUAUGGAUACUCGACAUCAGCGAUACACUGUUGGUGUCUGAGCGAAAGCAUUAAGUAUCCCACCUGGAAGUACGACCGCAAGGUUGAAACUCAAAGGAAAUUGACGG
rnacentral:rRNA from 1 species